UCUAUGUAAGUUAUUACAUGGGUCUGAAGAAGGAUUUUCUUGGUUAAAGUUUGACCGCUGAAUCUCUCUAUAUUUAAAUUGUCUCUUUUUUUUAUCAACAACAAAGAGACAUAAAGACGCAGUGAGCAGCAACAAGAGGCACAGCAAGAAAGAAUUAUUCUCAUCUUUGACAUUUAAAAUGUUCUUAUAUUUUAAGAGAUUCACAUUUUAAACUUUAAUAAAUAAUUUUUCCACUUUUCA